UACGAGGGGUGCAAGCGUUGCUCGGAAUUAUUGGGCGUAAAGGGUAGGUAGGUGGUCUCAUUUGUCUGGGGUGAAAGCCUUGAGCUUAACUCAAGAAGUGCCCUAGAAACGGUGAGACUAGAGUCUUGGAGAGGGUCGUGGAAUUCCCGGUGUAGCGGUGAAAUGCGUAGAGAUCGGGAGGAACACCAGCGGCGAAGGCGGCGACCUGGACAAGUACUGACACUCAACUACGAAAGCGUGGGUAG
rnacentral:rRNA from 1 species